rnacentral:lncRNA from 1 species
GCUUCUGAGGGCUCCCUGGCCUGGGAGAGUUUGAGCAGAAGUGGUUCCCAGUGGGAAAGUGCGAACUUCAGGACGGGCCGUGUGGAGACUUCUGGGGCUGAGACGUGACUAACACAUUUCCAUGCUGAAGGAUGUGGUGGACUGGCAAGGGACUAGAAUAAGAGAUGACUUUGUUUUAGAUCUUAUGUAAUCUCCAAAGGGUCCCAGGAAGGAUGGGACCUCUGCUUGGAUCUGUGCUGAGUCUGAGGAUCACUGCAGGUCAGGGGAGGAGAACUCCUCGCUGGGUGUGAAGCGGAGAAAAUCAAGAACCGGUUGUAACUUGUUCCUCAGCAGCCCCAACUCUGAUAAGGUUUAGUCAUCGGUUCCUGUGUGUGAGGGGUUGGUGUUUGUAUGUGGAAGCUGAGGAGGACUCGGACUGGAACUUUCUGUCUCUGCCUCUGAGCUCUGGGAUCACAGCUGUCAACCACCACACUCGGUUUACCUCGUGAGCUCUAGAGAAGCACCCUGCCAACUAUGGUGCAUGCUACCCCUUGAAAUUCUCUUUCCUGUUCUAUUAAGUGACAGGUAGCUAGGAUGG